CGCUGGCGGCGUGCCUAAUACAUGCAAGUCGAACGAACUCUGGUAUUGAUUGGUGCUUGCAUCAUGAUUUACAUUUGAGUGAGUGGCGAACUGGUGAGUAACACGUGGGAAACCUGCCCAGAAGCGGGGGAUAACACCUGGAAACAGAUGCUAAUACCGCAUAACAACUUGGACCGCAUGGUCCGAGUUUGAAAGAUGGCUUCGGCUAUCACUUUUGGAUGGUCCCGCGGCGUAUUAGCUAGAUGGUGGGGUAACGGCUCACCAUGGCAAUGAUACGUAGCCGACCUGAGAGGGUAAUCGGCCACAUUGGGACUGAGACACGGCCCAAACUCCUACGGGAGGCAGCAGUAGGGAAUCUUCCACAAUGGACGAAAGUCUGAUGGAGCAACGCCGCGUGAGUGAAGAAGGGUUUCGGCUCGUAAAACUCUGUUGUUAAAGAAGAACAUAUCUGAGAGUAACUGUUCAGGUAUUGACGGUAUUUAACCAGAAAGCCACGGCUAACUACGUGCCAGCAGCCGCGGUAAUACGUAGGUGGCAAGCGUUGUCCGGAUUUAUUGGGCGUAAAGCGAGCGCAGGCGGUUUUUUAAGUCUGAUGUGAAAGCCUUCGGCUCAACCGAAGAAGUGCAUCGGAAACUGGGAAACUUGAGUGCAGAAGAGGACAGUGGAACUCCAUGUGUAGCGGUGAAAUGCGUAGAUAUAUGGAAGAACACCAGUGGCGAAGGCGGCUGUCUGGUCUGUAACUGACGCUGAGGCUCGAAAGUAUGGGUAGCAAACAGGAUUAGAUACCCUGGUAGUCCAUACCGUAAACGAUGAAUGCUAAGUGUUGGAGGGUUUCCGCCCUUCAGUGCUGCAGCUAACGCAUUAAGCAUUCCGCCUGGGGAGUACGGCCGCAAGGCUGAAACUCAAAGGAAUUGACGGGGGCCCGCACAAGCGGUGGAGCAUGUGGUUUAAUUCGAAGCUACGCGAAGAACCUUACCAGGUCUUGACAUACUAUGCAAAUCUAAGAGAUUAGACGUUCCCUUCGGGGACAUGGAUACAGGUGGUGCAUGGUUGUCGUCAGCUCGUGUCGUGAGAUGUUGGGUUAAGUCCCGCAACGAGCGCAACCCUUAUUAUCAGUUGCCAGCAUUAAGUUGGGCACUCUGGUGAGACUGCCGGUGACAAACCGGAGGAAGGUGGGGAUGACGUCAAAUCAUCAUGCCCCUUAUGACCUGGGCUACACACGUGCUACAAUGGAUGGUACAACGAGUUGCGAACUCGCGAGAGUAAGCUAAUCUCUUAAAGCCAUUCUCAGUUCGGAUUGUAGGCUGCAACUCGCCUACAUGAAGUCGGAAUCGCUAGUAAUCGCGGAUCAGCAUGCCGCGGUGAAUACGUUCCCGGGCCUUGUACACACCGCCCGUCACACCAUGAGAGUUUGUAACACCCAAAGUCGGUGGGGUAACCUUUUAGGAACCAGCCGCCUAAGGUGGGACAGAUGAUUA
rnacentral:rRNA from 2 species